rnacentral:rRNA from 1 species
UACGUAGGGUGCAAGCGUUGUCCGGAAUUAUUGGGCGUAAAGAGCUCGUAGGCGGUUUGUCGCGUCGGCUGUGAAAACCCGAGGCUCAACCUCGGGCCUGCAGUCGAUACGGGCAAACUAGAGUGUGGUAGGGGAGACUGGAAUUCCUGGUGUAGCGGUGAAAUGCGUAGAUAUCAGGAGGAACACCAGCGGUGUAGACGGCUUUCUGGACCAUGCUGACGCUGAGACACGAAAGCGUGGGUAGCAAACAGG